GCCUGGCUGGCUAAGUUGAUAAACCAUAUGGCUCUUGAUCUUAGGGUCAUGAGUUCCAGUCCCAUGUUGGGCA
rnacentral:tRNA from 1 species